UUAUUGCCUUCCCUCUCAUCACAGCCUUGAAUGCCAACAAAUAGAACAGGAAAUUCUUUGCUAGGAAGAAGAGCCAUGUCAGAACUUAAGGAGGAAGAAGUGUCUUCUUUACAUGCAAGUAACUCCCCCUUGUAGAAUAGCUUAGAUGGGAGGUGCAGAAUUGUUGGGUGGCAUCGAUAAUUCCUCACUAAUUUUGUUACAAAACCUUCAUCUUCAUUUUGGUAAAAUUCACAUUCAAACAACCUUUGGAGAUAAGAUUUUCCUAAUCCAAAUGCCUCAGCAUCUUUGGAAUACACAACAGGACCAAGUUGCUUUGGAUCACCUGCCAGAACAACAACAGUAUUCCUUUGGCAAAAGCUAGAUAUAGGAACCAUGCUUUCUGGCUCUGAAGCUUGGCCAGACUCAUCCAAGAAAAUAUGAGAGAAAUGACCACGACCAAUACCUUCUGCAUGCAGUAGCAAUGAACACGUAUAUGUAGAAAUCACGAUCCUAUAUUUGAUCAAGGCAUCAAGUGGAGGGCAUUUGAAAAUUGAAUCAACAGAAUAGCAAAAGCGAAUAUGAUCAGGCUGAAGAUCUUCAUAAGGUCGACUAGAGGCAUUUAACCUAAAAAGUUCAUUCUCUUUAACUUUAGCAACCUCAUGACUGAUGACUUUUUCUAGUAUGUGAUCUGCUGCACUGUUUGAAGCAGCACACACAAGAAUUCUACCAUCCUUUCUUGUUGCAUAUACUUGUAAUACCGCUUCCACCAGUGUCAUGGUUUUUCC
rnacentral:misc_RNA from 1 species